rnacentral:lncRNA from 1 species
GCAGCACCCCCUGGGGCCUGGGGUGGGGGAAGGGAUUGGGUGAGCACCAUGGGCUCCUUUGUCAGACCCAGGAAGGAGAGUGGGGGCAGCUACCGGAAGUAGGGGGAUGAGAAGCUCCCUCCGGAAUGUAUGCCCCCCUCUCCCCUCCCCUCUCCUCCCCUCCCCACAUGCACAGCCCCUGCACAUGCUCAGUGUGCCCAUGAAUUGGGUUGGUUGGGGGAGGGCACUGACUGGCACCCCCACUUAAAGGGCCAGUGCCACACUUGCCUGUUCCCAACAAGGGCAAUGGGACCUGGCCACCUUUCCCCCCAAUACCGUUACUUCCCUUUGGACCCCCUCCCCCCACUCCCUGGCAGCUUCUUCCUGCCCCAGCCCACCAAUCUCUGCCUACCCCUCUCCCUCAUACUCUGACCCUAUUGCAGGCAGGGUCUGUCCACUGGGCACAGGAGUUUCCACCUGGGGUCGGGCAGUUCCUGCCGGGGAAGAAAGAGGGAUCCUAAGACAGGCUGGGCAGGGGUGGUGGGAGGCUUCAACAGUCACUCCCAUGAAACAUAUGUUCUCUGCGCUUCCCUUCCCCGGCCCAGUUGACCAAGAGGGUCCCAGAAAGCACAGGGCGUGAGGGCAGCUGUGGAAAGGCCCAGGGAGGCUGUGUCCAAGCCCAACUUCCCCAGCUAGGGCGUGUGAUGUGGGGGUGGGGGUGUCUUGUAAACUGGAGCUUCCACCAUUGCAGUAGGCGGAGUGGAGGCCCAGGCUUCAAGACCAAGCAGCAGCAGCUCCUGGGCCAAGCCUCAUCUUGCCCAGUGUGGCCUGUCAAGAUGACGGCCUGGAAGAGAAGCCAGACUGGGCAGCCAGGCCUCUGCCCCUCCCCUUGCCUGGUGGCACAGCCAGCACUGGCUCACUGGUGAGUUGACUAAUUUCCUCCGCCACCAUUAGUUGUCCAUGUUCAUUGCUGCCUGACACCCAACACCAGUCUGCAAGGGCACCAGGAGGGGAUGGAAGAGACAGGGUGUCUGGGGAAGGGUGGGUCUGAGUGCGAGGGGGUGGGUGAGCUUGUCUCAGAGCCUGACGCUGGCUGGUGGUAUCUGCGUUACCCAGGCUGACCCAGCUCUCUCUGAUGCAGACAGGCGAGGGCCUCACACACUUCAGAGAAUUCACACCCACAUGAUGAGGCUGAGAGGAGCAGGACGCACAGACACAUGGCAGGCACCAGGAGAGCCAGGCUGCUCUGCUCUGCUGGCGAUCCAUGUGCUGUCCCCCUCUGUCUCUUGACUUUAUUUUCCAUCAGGAGAGCGCCUCCCUUAUUACCCUUGGGAGGGAAAGCUCACAACUCCUCACAGCGAUCUGGUAUCUUGAGCGUCAGUUUCUGGCCGAAACUGGGGGCUCCUGACUGAACUCCCUCCCACCUAGAAAACCUUCUGUGCAGUCUGAUUGCUCCAACACCCACAGAGCAGGAUUCAGGUAUCCCGGAGACCUUGGGAGGUCCCCAUCCAGAGGUCUGCUGUCCUGCCAGGCUUGGGGCAGCAGGGACUGGGACCCCACUCAGACCUCUCUGGGGCAAAUGUUUUGGUUCUCACAACAGCCCUAGUGAAAUCAAUCCUAGAUACUCCCAUUUGGUCCCACCAAGGCCAUUUAAUUUCUCUGUAAAGGGUAAGAUGACACAAAAGAGCCAACUAUGGAAACGGUGAGGUGGGAGUCUGAACCGAUUUAGCUGUUCUCAGGGCGCACAGGGUGUUGACGGUGGUUUUCAUCUGCCACCUGCCUCCUUGAGACCCAGCUGGCCUGAGUGUGCACGAAAUGGGACCUUCUCCUUGGGUCCACCAGGCUGGGAGGCACCCCUAGGUACCCGGCUCCUCAUCACAGCGGCAGCCCUCUCGGUUCCACAUCUGGUUCUCCUGACGAAGCCGCUGGUUUUCGGUCCGGAGCCUCUGGACCUCGGCAGCCAGCUCCUCCACCUGGCGGCAGGACUGCUGGCCGGUGCACGCCUGCAGCUGCUGCAGCCUCCUAGUCUCCUCCUCCGCCUGCGACAGCCGCUUCUCCAGCUCCAGGUAGUCUCGCACCAGCUCCUGCUUGCUGCGGCCCUGCAGGCUCUCGGUGUGGAAGCGUUCCCCAGCUCAGCUCCAGGUAGGGUCGCCAGUGCCUUUUGCGCUUCGAUGGCCGCCGACGGUGUUUCUUCCGGGCCAGCACAGCCUCCGCUGAGCAGCCCCCUGGGCUCUGGGUCCGGGGACUCCUACUGUUCCAGCCCAGGCCACCGACAGCCCCAGCAAGAUCUUCAUCCUCUGAGUGGCUCUCCAUCCGCGGUGUCAGGGGCAGGGAACCACCAGAGUCAUGACGCUCAGGGGGUGUUUGGGGGCUCCCCGGGGCACCAGAGGUCUAAAGAGAGGGAGGAGGAAGAAGGAUGGAUCAGACAGCCUGUCCUUGGAGGUGGAACCUUUCCCUCUCUACCUAGCCUGAAGCCUACCUUCCUACACUCAGCUAACUUGGUCACUCUUAGCCCCUCAACCUUUUGGAACCAUUUGUUUACAAAGAGACCUGUCUACUGUCUGUCCCCCAACCUUCCCCAAGUAAACUCAUGGUGAGAGCAGGAAUU